CGUAGCCACGGUAAUACAGAGGGUGCGAGCGUUAAUCGGAAUUACUGGGCGUAAAGCGCACGCAGGCGGUCUGACAAGUCAGAUGUGAAAUCCCCGGGCUUAACCUGGGAACUGCAUUUGAAACUGUCAGGCUGGAGUCUUGUAGAGGGGGGUAGAAUUCCAGGUGUAGCGGUGAAAUGCGUAGAGAUCUGGAGGAAUACCGGUGGCGAAGGCGGCCCCCUGGACAAAGACUGACGCUCAGGUGCGAAAGCGUGGGGAGCAAACAGGAUUAGAUACCCGUGUAGUCCCUGUCUCUUAUACA
rnacentral:rRNA from 1 species